AUUGAAUUUUUGGCGGCAUGCCUUACACAUGCAAGUCGAACGGUAACAGGUCUUCGGAUGCUGACGAGUGGCGAACGGGUGAGUAAUACAUCGGAACGUGCCCGAUCGUGGGGGAUAACGGAGCGAAAGCUUUGCUAAUACCGCAUACGAUCUACGGAUGAAAGCAGGGGACCGCAAGGCCUUGCGCGGACGGAGCGGCCGAUGGCAGAUUAGGUAGUUGGUGGGAUAAAAGCUUACCAAGCCGACGAUCUGUAGCUGGUCUGAGAGGACGACCAGCCACACUGGGACUGAGACACGGCCCAGACUCCUACGGGAGGCAGCAGUGGGGAAUUUUGGACAAUGGGCGAAAGCCUGAUCCAGCCAUGCCGCGUGCAGGAUGAAGGCCUUCGGGUCGUAAAACUCUUUUCAAGGGAAAGAGGAA
rnacentral:rRNA from 1 species